rnacentral:ncRNA from 2 species
UAAAAUUAAAUAUAUCAAGGUGCCUCUAAAAAAGAGGAGAAUAGGGAAGUCGGUGAAAAUCCGACACGGACCCACCACUGUAAGUAGUGACGAAUUCUAAUUAUGCCACUAGAUAUAAAUUAUUUGGGAAGGCUAGAAGGAGGUUGAUCUACAAGUCAGGAGACCUACCUUGAUAGGAGAAAAUAG